UCCGUGAAAUGCUGAAUACAACAGGUGUAGUAGACCUUACCGUGAAAUGCUGAAUACAACAGGUGUAGUAGACCUUACAGUGAAAUGCUGAAUACAACAGGUGUAGUAGACCUUACCGUGAAAUGCUGAAUACAACAGGUGUAGUAGACCUUACUGUGAAAUGCUGAAUACAACAGGUGUAGUAGACCUUACAGUGAAAUGCUGAAUACAACAGGUGUAGUAGACCUUACAGUGAAAUGCUGAAUACAACAGGUGUAGUAGACCUUACCGUGAAAUGCUGAAUACAACAGGUGUAGUAGACCUUACCGUGAAAUGCUGAAUACAACAGGUGUAGUAGACCUUACCGUGAAAUGCUGAAUACAACAGGUGUAGUAGACCUUACCGUGAAAUGCUGAAUACAACAGGUGUAGUAGACCUUACCGUGAAAUGCUGAAUACAACAGGUGUAGUAGACCUUACCGUGAAAUGCUGAAUACAACAGGUGUAGUAGACCUUACCGUGAAAUGCUGAAUACAACAGGUGUAGUAGACCUUACCGUGAAAUGCUGAAUACAACAGGUGUAGUAGACCUUACCGUGAAAUGCUGAAUACAACAGGUGUAGUAGAC